ACAUACGACCAUAGGGUGUGGAAAACAGGGCUUCCCGUCCGCUCAGCCGUACUUAAGCCACACGCCGGCCGGUUAGUAGUUGGGUGGGUGACCACCAGCGAAUCCCGGCUGUUGUAUGUU
rfam:Neosartorya fischeri NRRL 181 1099437636264 genomic scaffold, whole genome shotgun sequence.